rnacentral:rRNA from 1 species
GACUGGGAUAACCCUGGGAAACUGGGGAUAAUACUGGAUAGGCAAUUUUUCCUGUAAUGGUUUUUUGUUUAAAUGUUUUUUCGCCUAAGGAUGGGUCUGCGGCCGAUUAGGUAGUUGGUUAGGUAAUGGCUUACCAAGCCGUUGAUCGGUACGGGUUGUGAGAGCAAGAGCCCGGAGAUGGAACCUGAGACAAGGUUCCAGGCCCUACGGGGUGCAGCAGGCGCGAAACCUCCGCAAUGUGAGAAAUCGCGACGGGGGGAUCCCAAGUGCUAUUCUUAACGGGAUGGCUUUUCAUUAGUGUAAAGAGCUUUUGGAAUAAGGGCUGGGCAAGACCGGUGCCAGCCGCCGCGGUAACACCGGCAGCUCUAGUGGUAGCAGUUUUUAUUGGGCCUAAAGCGUCCGUAGCCGGUUUAAUAAGUCUCUGGUGAAAUCCUGUAGCUUAACUGUGGGAAUUGCUGGAGAUACUAUUAGACUUGAGACCGGGAGAGGUUAGAGGUACUCCCAGGGUAGAGGUGAAAUUCUGUAAUCCUGGGAGGACCGCCUGUUGCGAAGGCGUCUAACUGGAACGGUUCUGACGGUGAGGGACGAAAGUUAGGGGCGCGAACCGGAUUAGAUACCCGGGUAGUCCUAACUGUAAACGAUGCGGACUUGGUGUUGGGGUGGCUUUGAGCUGCUCCAGUGCCGAAGGGAAGCUGUUAAGUCCGCCGCCUGGGAAGUACGGUCGCAAGACUGAAACUUAA